rnacentral:rRNA from 1 species
UACGAGGGGGGCGAGCGUUGUUCGGAAUUAUUGGGCGUAAAGGGUGCGUAGGCGGGUUUUUAAGUCAGGGGUGAAAUCCUGGAGCUCAACUCCAGAACUGCCUUUGAUACUGAAGAUCUUGAGUCCGGGAGAGGUGAGUGGAACUGCGAGUGUAGAGGUGAAAUUCGUAGAUAUUCGCAAGAACACCAGUGGCGAAGGCGGCUCACUGGCCCGGUACUGACGCUGAGGCACGAAAGCGUGGGGAGCAAACAGG